GCUUCUGAUUCCCACAGAUCAAAAGCAAAAAAGUAGGCCUAGCAUCAGCUAGGCCUACUUUUUUUAUUUACCUU
rnacentral:sRNA from 1 species